rnacentral:rRNA from 1 species
AUACGGAGGGACCAAGCGUUGUUCGGAAUCAUUGGGCGUAAAGCGGGUGUAGGCGGUGGAGUAAGUCGGAUGUGAAAUCCCGGGGCCCAACCCCGGAACUGCAUUCGAAACUGCUUCACUAGAGUCCCGGAGAGGAAGGCGGAAUUCCCGGUGUAGAGGUGAAAUUCGUAGAUAUCGGGAGGAACACCAGUGGCGAAGGCGGCCUUCUGGACGGUGACUGACGCUCAGACCCGAAAGCGUGGGGAGCAAACAGGAUUAGAAACCCCUGUAGUCC